UAGGUCAAAGGUUACUGUGUGAUGUUUACGUUCAGGAAAUGCAAUAAGUUACAGCUGACCAACAAAAAUUAGGGCCAAAGUUCGAUUAAUUGUCGAAAUCAUUUGCCCUAGUUCUUAUUUCGUGGUUUAACCAUAUAUCUUGCAUAAUGUUUUAUUAGAGUAUUCAAGAUUCAAUGUUAUGGAUUCAACGAAACAAGAAAUAAAUCCAGAACGGUGGCUGAAGGUGUUUAAUUUCAUGAAUUUUGACAGAACUUUUUUGACACAGAAAGUCAGCUGUUUAACAAUGGAGAAGUAUAUGUUGGUGAUUUUACUGAUAUUUUGUCUAUGUUCAUCACCAGUUAGUGGCAAGUAUUGUACAUCUUUAAAAUCUCGUCAGAAGAUUGAGACAAAAACAACACAAGAAAUCUGUACAGAGGCCUAUCAAGCUGCUUGUCGCUGGUUUUCUAGUGAAAUGUGUACAUAUUAUGAACAUUUCCAGUGUGAGAAGAAGUUCAAUGAAACAAAGACGUAUUAUUCUAUAGUUCGAGAAUGUUGUCCUGGUUAUGUAUUGAUGUCUAAUAAAACCUGUAUGAAAUUGAAUCCAGCAGACUAUCAUAAGUAUAAUAUAACAAAAGGAUCUGCAUUACCAUCAACUGGUGCUGAUGAAGAUGAUGAUGAGGUCGAUAUAUCACAUGGUGUAUUUGCUGGAAUCGGAUGUGGGGCUGUGUUUAUAAUUUGUGUAACAAUAUUAAUUGUAGUACACAUUAAGAAAAAUGAAAAAAAGAAGAUUAUUAUGAAUCAAAGUACAGUUGGGAUGAGACAUGAAAGAGAUAAAAUGAUUGUUACAGUAAAUACAAAAGAUGAAAGUGAUAAAAAUGAAGCUGCUACUCAAAUGACAUAAGAUAGUCUGGUUUCUUCCAUCUUUGCAAUACCAACAUCUGUAAUCUGAUUUGUUGACAUUUAGGGCCAAUCAAAAGUGCAGUAUUGUUACAAAUCUCAGAAAUUCUUUACCUGUGUUUGUUAUAGUUGUAUACGAUAUGUUAUGGAUCAUAUGUUUCCGGGAUAGAAAAUGGCUGAGAUAUUUACAGCAACUUUAAUCAAGAAAUCUGGAAGAGAUAUGUUUAUCUAAAUUGCCUUUAAUUUAAGUUCAGUUAUAUUUCCAAAAAAUCUAUCGAAGAACAGAAAUGAUUUACAUGUGCCUUUGCCCUUUAAUAUCAAAGAUGAACAAAAUAAAUUGUUGAUCUGGUUUUCAUUUAUUUUUUUAGAAUGACUGUAAAUGUAAAAACUAUAAAAAAAAGCAGGAUUCUUGUUUCUUUUUUCUUUUUAUGAGUGAAUGUUUUUUCUCUUUAAAAGAAGGAAGACCUUGUUUUAAAUUGUGCUGAUCCGAUGGGUUGUUUCAAUUGGAGAAGGUGUAUAUGAUUAAACUUUACUAAAUUUAUAUAUGUUUGUGACUGUUUACCCUUUAAAACAAAACCUGUUAUAUAUCAACAUUAUGGAUCAGCUUAAUCUAUGCACAUAAACAUUUUGACCUCCAGAGAUAUCCAUCUCAAAAACAAAUUCCACCAAAUUAAUAAAACCAACACAUUCAUUUUCACCUAAAUGACUGGGUUCUUGUUUAUAUGUAUAAUAUGUAAAUUUAUUUGUGUGAAUGGUUUGUCUCUUAGUAAAAUGCAGCUCAACUCAUAAAUAGAAUUAAAGAUAAGUUUAUUGGUUUUCCAACUGUUGUCUUAGUGUGACUGGGUCGGCACUAAUGUGCUAUUUCACUGCUAUUGUUUGCUCCAUUAUUCUGGGUCAAUACAUCUCAGUGGAUUUAAUAUCUAGUGCUCACCAUUUGAUACAGUAUUUUAAAUUGUUUUCUGUUAAACACAGGUUUUAUAGGGUGACUUUUAUUACUUAGGAGACUCUGGGAAAACCUAUAACAUUUGUUAAAUUAAGCCUUUCGCAACUGAUUUCCAUCAAUUAUUUUUUACGAUUCCCGCUGUUUUGUGUAGGUUAUUUUCAGUGUGAGUUUCAUCUAUUUAGAUUUAUUGUUAAUUUAAAGAUAUUGGAUAUUGUUGGGUUUCUUACACAAUUCAUGAUGUGUUUUUACAUACUUCAAUUAUUGGUUUUUACAAUAUUAUGCAAUUCUUGAUUUGUUUUUGCAUACUUCAAUUUUGGAUUAAAAAUGUGUUGGUGUUUUUUUAUGCCUACCAGUAUAUUAAAAAAUAUUUAAUAACUUCUAUACUACUCUAUUAAUAAUAAUAAUAACAUUGAAUCAUACACUUUUUAUUUUAAUUGUUUAAAGGACAAGGGUGUUGUAAUAUUUUUUUGUUCAAACAUAGGGAUGCACGAUUGACCAGUCCAAAAUGUCAUUUGAGUAACUGUGAGAAUUAAGGGCAACUGAAUACAUUAGGAUACUAUCUUAACCAAUUACUGUUGGGGUUUGACAAUGUCACAAUUCUACUCAGAUCACUGCAUGUUAUGGAAUUGGCAGAACUGUCACAUAAAGCUAAAAUAAUUCACAUUGUGUAAACCUAAAUCAAUAACAGUUAAUGGUUGCUAUUUGCUGUUGCUCGUUUUUGUUUUUCUCCAGGCAAUAUUCAAUUUGAUUGGAAAUCUGCAUUUAGCUUUCAAUCGUUAUGCUUUUAAGAUGUUUAAAACCAUAAAUCAGUUGAUUGAUUCGUAAACCUAUAAAUAUAUUCUGGUUCUUAGAUACAGCCAUAUCACUUAAAAAGGGGCUGAAUGACCCAUCUGUAUUUCCAAAAAUAAAAACAUUUUCAUUAAUUAUUGCGCCGUCCUAUUCCCUGGAAUCAAGGGAGUUUACUUGGCAUAUACUAUAGGCUCAAUUAUCAAGUACAAAACCCUGAUAAAUGUUAUAAACAAUCAGAAAUGAAACUGGAUAAUUUGUAAACUGACCCACAGUUUUCACAGAUAAAAGUGAUAUGAUCCUUUGACAUAUACUACAGGAUCGAUUAUCAAGAACACAACCCUGAUAAAAGUUACUGACAAACAGAAUUGACCCACGGUUUUCACAAUGUAGGAAGUCAUUUAGCCCAAUGAUCCUUUGACAUUUUUUGAAAGGAUUGUCUAAGAACCAGAAUAGUUUUUUGUAUGGCCUAGAAUUGUGUAUUUUUAUAUUCUUGACUAUUUAUUCUAGACUGUGUUUGGUUGAGAAACAUGCCGUCACAUUAUACAUGUAUGAUUCAUCAAGGAAACAUUUUAUGUUAGACAUUUAUUUAAUGAUAUUUUCUGCUGGUUUUUACUUUUUGUCUUAAAAAUAAUUUUAGCUUGCAUUAAAAUAAAUUACAUUAGAAUUUGAGAGCCAAAGAGGAAAGUGUCCUUAAAUUCUGUAAAUUAUUGUAAUAUAGAAAGUUUUUAAUUGUAUAACAAUGUACACUAGUUCAAUAUUAUAAAAUAUUGAUUAAGAUAUGUGCAAUAUUUCCAGUAUUAAUGAUAUUAUUGAAUUAAUUUUGUAAUAAUUUAGGUAACAGUACUAUUAUAGAGCUAUUAACUGAGCCCCUUAUUUCUAUACUGGUGCUAUAUCUGUAAAUGCAGAUUGGUGAUUUCUUCCAGUUCAGAAAAGGCUGUGUGGAAGGACAAUUAAAAAUAUGUUACUGACCAAUUCCCUGACUAUCAAAUAAAGGCCAUUUGCUUUUCCCAUUCAAUGAUAUUUUUUUUAUUGUUUUCUUUUUUGAGGUGGGGAAUUGUAAGAUUGUAGGUGGGUGGGGUUAUUGGAUAUGGAAUUUGGUCAGGAUCUAAAUACAACAAUUACAGACCAUUUUUACCAAGGGUUAGCUAUCAUUUACUGUUUGAAUGGCAUUUAGUAAUUGAACACAUUAAAAUAAACACGAAAGUUCUAUGGAUAACAAUUACUAUAUUUAAUUAAAGCUACGUUUCAACAAUGAUUCUCUUGUCGUUAUCAAGCACAAUACUGAUACAGACAGAAGGAGUGAAAGCUAUCAUUCACAAUGAUAACACUGAUAGCAGCCAUGGUACUCCCAUAUAGUGAUCCAUUCAGUAGUGAGGUUCCAUGGUACACACAAAUCAUUCCAUGACUUAUAUAAGUAAAUAUUUGUACAUGUAUUAUAAUAUAACUUAGAAAUUAUAAACCUGCUUUUAUUUAUUUAUAAAAAAUAUUUUAUAUUCUUGCCAUAGAUGUAUAACUGUAUAUUUCCUUCCAUUUAUUGUAGGUCUACUUUGAUUCCAAGUAGACUUUGGAUGUAUUUGUAUCAAGUAAAAGAGGCCUUAGUCAAGCCAAUGAAUCAUCUGUAUUCUUAAAAUAUUUUAGUUUUAAGUUUUCAUGAAGAGGACAUCAUGAAAGCAAAGUUUAUAACACAAAUUUAUAAGUUUGCUAUGCCUAAAAUCUAACGGCUAUAACCAGAACUUUUAUACCAAAAUAUGAGUCAAAUUUGUUUCUAUGGAAAUUAUGUCAAAAUUACUGCAAUAGUUUAAUCUGUGUACAAAGUUUCAUAAAAACAUCUUGAACGGUUUAGGAGAUAUC